rnacentral:misc_RNA from 1 species
UCCGGUUUGUCACCGGCAGUCUCCCUAGAGUGCCCUUGCGUAGCAACUAGGGACAAGGGUUGCGCUCGUUGCGGGACUUAACCCAACAUCUCACGACACGAGCUGACGACAGCCAUGCAGCACCUGUGCACGGACUCCGAAGAGGGGCCGAUGUUUCCACCGGCUUUCCCGUGCAUGUCAAGCCCAGGUAAGGUGGGGAUGACGUAUAGGAACACCAAC